rnacentral:rRNA from 1 species
GUCCUUUUGAUUUUUAUUUAAGGUCUAGUCUGCCCACUGAAUUUGAAUUUUAAAUGGCCGCAGUAUUUUGACUGUGCAAAGGUAGCAUAAUCAUUAGUUUUUUAAUUAAAAGCUUGUAUGAAAGGCUGGACGAGGUAAAAGCUGUCUCUAUAUAAAUUAUAUUAGAAUUUAACUUUUAAGUUAAAAGGCUUAAAUAUUAUUAAAAGACGAGAAGACCCUAUAGAGCUUUAUAAUUUAUUUAAUAAAAUUAAUUUAGAAUUGUUUGUGUUUUAUUUUAUAAAAUUAUUUUAUUGGGGUAAUAGGGAGAUUGAAUUAAUUCUUCUUUUUUAUAAACAUUGAUUUAUGAAUAUGAAAUGAUCCAAUUUUAUUGAUUAUAAGAUUAAGUUACCUUAGGGAUAACAGCGUAAUUUUUUUAGAGAGUUCAUAUCGAUAAGAAAGUUUGCGACCUCGAUGUUGGAUUAAAGAUUAUUUUAGGUGUAGAAGCUUAAUAAAUUUGGUCUGUUCGACCAUUAAAUCUUUAC